GAACUAGAAGAUUUGUGAGUUCAAGUUGGAAAGAGGAGAGACGGGGAAGAAAUGAAAAGGACAGUGUCAUCUCAGCUACAUCUACAACUCUUCUAGAACAUAAAAAAACUGGAAGCUAGCUGAGAGUUUUGCAAGAAUAUCUGAAUGGCAAAUCCACUGAGGCUCAGACUGGGACUUCAAGCGCGUGCAGUUGCAGCCUUCCUGCAGACUGUGAGAGAAGUACUGCGGAAACCUCUCUGCUUCUCCACUAGGACUAGUACAGAGGGAAUCAGCUCCCUGGCUCCUGCACAUGCAAACAUUUGAAUUUCCUGUUGGCUCAGAGUGUUUGCAUUGCAAGUGACAUCUGGCUGACAGGAACUUGGAGAAAUGGGAUACGAAGUGAAUGCUGCAGUUACCACAGCAUCAUAUUUAUCAAAAGGCUUAAGCAUUCUCAAAUGGGAGAUAAGCUGACACACAAAGUAUUUACAGCACUG